UUUUGAUAUAUUUUUCAGCUCUGUCAGACAUAUUAGCCCUGAUUAUCUCCCCUCGUUAUGUAUUUUGAUAUAUUUUUCAGCUCCGUCAGACAUAUUAGCCCUGAUUAUCUCCCCUCGUUAUGUAUUUUGAUAUAUUUUUCAGCUCUGUCGGACAUAUUAGCCCUGAUUAUCUACCCUGUGAAGUUUAAGGAAGAGAUUAUGGUACACGAGGAUGUGAGGCGCUGGGACUUUGACUGGACUUAUGGUUUUGGUUGGGGAGCAUUCAUCUUCUCAGCAGCAGCAUCAGUGUUCUUCUUCAUUCCAUCAGGAACAAAAGAAAUUUCCAGAAAGUCAUUUUCAUCUGAUAUUUGACACUGCUGUCUAUUAACAGCUACUGCAAUGCAUAAUUUCUGUGUAUAAAUGAUCUCAUGUUUUAAAGUAUUAGAUUUCAUGAAGAAGCUUUUUUUGACCAUGUUGACAUUUGUCUCUUUUUUUUAUAGGUUUUAAAAAAUUGGGAAGCUUAUAAUUUAGUAAUAAUGUGCAGAACUCAAAUACAAGUAUCUUUACAAUUAACCAUUUCCAAUCAGAAAAGAUAAUUAUUUUUUAUUAAGUCAGUACUCAUUGUGAACUACACUUUUUAAGAUGUCAAUUAAUGAUUUACUAUCUUAAAAAAUAUUUAAUGAUAAACUUUUGUUUAAAAGUUCACAUAAUGGUGUAGUUACAUUUACAAUACCAUGUACAAGUGCAAUAUGAAAAUGUAUAUUAUGUAUGGUGUUAACUGUGUGAUAUACUGUUGGGUUAGAGUAUUUAUCUUGCCAUUGUUAUACCUGUUAAUUUGUUGACUAUAUUAUCAAAUCAAAGGACUGGUUUGUUUUAACUAUAUAUUGAGUGUAUUUGUUAACAGUGUAAUCAACCACAAGAUGGCAUAAGGAAACACUAAUUGUGUAAUUCUUUAUCAGCCUGGAGUUACCUUUCCCUUAGAGAGGUCAUCCAUACAUGGUAUCAUUGUUUAUACAUGGUUGUUUUGAUACCCAGAGAUUAUUAAUAUAUCUGAUUUAAAUACUCCUACAUGUUCUAUGAGUUGUCAAGUAUUUGUAUAUGUUCCGUACCGUAUGAGUUUUUGGACUGUACAUACCUUCAUGGUCAGGCAAUAUGAGUAUCUAUUUCCUCGUUUGGUUAUUAAAAACGGACCCUAUGAGUAUUUAGACCAUAUCAGUAUGUUUGUGUUUACAAAAAAACUAAUUGAAACACAAAAAAGUUUAAAAAAACAGACGGUUCAUUGUUUCAAUUGACUUGUUGCUUUACAGUUCUGUUAGUUAUUUUCUGAGUUGACAUAUUGUGUUUCAUAAGAUAAUGACUAUACAGUAUAUACAUGUGACAUGACAAUACAUGUAUGGUCCAAAUACUCAUAGGUCAAGAACAUAUAUAACGUAACGGCACCCUAAUUGCACCGAGUACCCAAAUUGCACCUAUUUAGCAAAACUAGCAGCGAAA
rnacentral:lncRNA from 1 species